rnacentral:rRNA from 1 species
UGCAAGUCGUACGCUUCUUUUUCCACCGGAGCUUGCUCCACCGGAAAAAGAAGAGUGGCGAACGGGUGAGUAACACGUGGGUAACCUGCCCAUCAGAAGGGGAUAACACUUGGAAACAGGUGCUAAUACCGUAUAACAAUCGAAACCGCAUGGUUUUGAUUUGAAAGGCGCUUUCGGGUGUCGCUGAUGGAUGGACCCGCGGUGCAUUAGCUAGUUGGUGAGGUAACGGCUCACCAAGGCCACGAUGCAUAGCCGACCUGAGAGGGUGAUCGGCCACAUUGGGACUGAGACACGGCCCAAACUCCUACGGGAGGCAGCAGUAGGGAAUCUUCGGCAAUGGACGAAAGUCUGACCGAGCAACGCCGCGUGAGUGAAGAAGGUUUUCGGAUCGUAAAACUCUGUUGUUAGAGAAGAACAAGGAUGAGAGUAACUGUUCAUCCCUUGACGGUAUCUAACCAGAAAGCCACGGCUAACUACGUGCCAGCAGCCGCGGUAAUACGUAGGUGGCAAGCGUUGUCCGGAUUUAUUGGGCGUAAAGCGAGCGCAGGCGGUUUCUUAAGUCUGAUGUGAAAGCCCCCGGCUCAACCGGGGAGGGUCAUUGGAAACUGGGAGACUUGAGUGCAGAAGAGGAGAGUGGAAUUCCAUGUGUAGCGGUGAAAUGCGUAGAUAUAUGGAGGAACACCAGUGGCGAAGGCGGCUCUCUGGUCUGUAACUGACGCUGAGGCUCGAAAGCGUGGGGAGCAAACAGGAUUAGAUACCCUGGUAGUCCACGCCGUAAACGAUGAGUGCUAAGUGUUGGAGGGUUUCCGCCCUUCAGUGCUGCAGCUAACGCAUUAAGCACUCCGCCUGGGGAGUACGACCGCAAGGUUGAAACUCAAAGGAAUUGACGGGGGCCCGCACAAGCGGUGGAGCAUGUGGUUUAAUUCGAAGCAACGCGAAGAACCUUACCAGGUCUUGACAUCCUUUUGACCACUCUAGAGAUAGAGCUUCCCCUUCGGGGGCAAAGUGACAGGUGG